GGUGCUAUAGUGUAGUGGUUAUCACUCGGGAUUUUGAUUAACACUUUCCCGAAACCCAGGUUCGAACCCUGGUAGCACCU
rnacentral:tRNA from 1 species